AGCGGAAAAGGAAAAAAAAAACUUAUCUCCCGUCGCCGCCUCCCGGAGCCGCUCGCCGCCUCCUCGCGAGCGCCCGCCGGACCGCCGGGUGCCGCCGCCAGCUCCGAGCGCUCACCCGCCGGAGCCGCGCCCCCUACCCCGCCACCUCCUCACGCGCGCCCGACGCUCGCCCUACCCCGCUGCUGCCGCCUCCUCGCAGCCGCCGGUGAGCCGGGUUUGCCGUCUGCUGGGGCCUUCUCCAACGCCGCCGCCGCCUCCUCGCGCGCAGCCUCUGGAGAUCUGGGGUCGCCGUCGGCCAGCUCCUCCUCGCGUGCGCCCGCCCGGGAUCUGUGGUGGGUUACGGCACUACGUAGUAUAGACUCCAGGUUAAGGCACAGGGAGGCAACAAUCCAAUCUAGGAGAGAUGGGAUGGGAUCCCAGCUCAAGGGAGCCCUGGCGGCAGCUACGAUUGGGAGGACCUAAGCCCUACAGCCAAGCUCUAUAAUCAACCCCCUUUUGCUUACUGGCGAUAAGUCAACCAACUUCCAAUGAUGCAGGUACUGAUCCCCUCCUCCCUCCCUCUCCCUCCCUCUUUAUCACCACAUUAGCCGAUUGAUCACCAGCUUUUUAUUCUGAUUGCUCCAGUGAACUUUGUUCACAAAAUAGUGUUUUUUUCAUUUCUGAUGCUUGUGCCUAUCGUGUGACUCCUCCGCUGACAUGUACAUUGAUAUCUGCCCAACUAAUUGAUGAAAUGAUCGUUUACAUUUUUUUUGUCCAGUCAAUAGUUUCUGAUCAGUUUGGAGUAGUCUGUGCCAUGUUGCUGUGAUAAUGCUACAGGUUAAUCCUCCUGGCUCUCUGUACUGAAACAAUUUCUCUGGAUCUCUUUCCCUUUUGUUUUGGACCUUAUACAACCUGCUGAUGGCUAAUAAUGACAUUCAUGAAUAAUAGAUCAUAUUAAAGCUGUUUGCAUGAUCUGCUCUUGUCAAAUAGUUUUAUGCAGUGACAACUCUUAUUAACUGAUCAGGUUGACUUCAAGCAUUGGGCUAAAAACUAAGAUUAUGUAAGUUAAAUAACAUAUAUGCCGUCAUUUUCAAUUUAAGUGAUAUUGUGUCAAUCUUCUGAUCAACUGUUUACAUCUUCGGAUUAUAUAGAUUCAUGUCACCUGUGUAUGUCUUCGGAAUUAUCUAUGUUUAUGUUACUGUGUAUGUCUUCAGAUUUAUAUAUAUUUAGGUCACCUGUGUAUAUCUUGAGAUAUUCCGUAAUUGCAUAUUAUUACAGAUGGCAAAGAUGCUUAAUUCUAUUUUUUUACUGGAUAUCCUUCAGCGAUAUGCCCCUGCCCGGCCUUGUCAGCUGAUAUGGCAUACAUUCCUCCAGGCUGCACUCACUUACACUUUUACUGUAGAUUGAUAGAUUAAUGUUCCUUUGUCAAGGUGAACCAAUCAGCUAAUGAUGGUUCAUAUAGUUCUGAUUUGAGUGCAACUAUGUAUCCACUAUGAUGUAGAAUUGUGGGUAUUUACAGAUGCAAUUUAAAAGGUAUGCCACUUAGGAAUCGACACUCAGGCACAUGCACCUAGGCUUGAUGGGUAAGUCUGGCCAAUUUACAUAUGGGGAACACAAAUUAAUUUAAUCAGUUAUUCCAAUUUAUUCUUCUUUGUUUCUAUGCAUUGCAAUACCAAUUUGAGUGCCUAUCUUGUCAUGCUAUUCAGCAUAAUGUCUUGGCAGGCUAUGCAUAUGUUCAUGCUUAUAUAUGUAGCAUUCAUAUAAGUAACUAUUAAUUGGAUUGCUUGCUUUGUCUAAUGCAGCCUCACCAUUUCAUUUGUGGCGAGUACCUUAAUUCCCUCUUGCCAUUAUCGAGGGAGUAUAUCAUCUGCACCUAAUUCUGUAUAUAGAGUAUUUAUUGACUAGGGUCUUGGAAAUUUUUGAAUUGCUGUCAGAUGCAAGUUCCUCAGAUUGAUGAUUUGAUUAGUUUCACAGCUAAUACCAUUGAUCACAGCUAAACACCACUUAUAGAAGUUUAAUGGAUUUUUAUCUAAAAAGGGGAAAAAGGGAAGUUAAUAACUGAAACUGCAUAGUAGUACUAUGGUCUCUGAACAAAGAAAUUUGUUGAGUUUCCUAGCAACUGCUGGGUGCAUUUUCCUCUUGUUAUGUGUGCCUAACCUUCCAUCCAUUAAAUUUCAAAAGUGCAAAUUCUUUGUAUAGGUAUUACUGGGACUCAAAUGUACACCUUUCAGUUCACUCUCAAUUUUGUUUCUGAAUUGUGUGUCUGCUGAUGCUUGCUUCUGAAUUUUGUAUCUGAAGGCGAAUCAUUGCUUCUGUUUUAUGUAGUCCUCAGCUUGAGUAAGCCAGGAAAUUAUGCACUGUGUUGUCAAAAAGCUAUGCACUUUGUUAUUAGGAGUUGUUUAAAUAAUAAUGGAUCCCCUUUUGUUUCCAGCCUUGGAGAUCAUCCAGGUUCUCAGGGGGUCAGCCCUAUCAACAUAUAUUUUUUAAUCAUUUCAGGAAGAGAAAUAGAGAAUUAUUGCAUGCAUUCCUUUGAUAUCAAAGAUUGGGAUUAAAUUUCCAGCUUAAUCCUGACAGCCGCAAUGUGUCUUGUGCAAAAGGAAGCGAGGCUGCAACUGAAACACGGUGAAUAGUAAAUAAAAAUCUCGCUUUUAGGAAAAAAGAUAGUUACUUCUAAUGUUUUAUGGAAAAGUUCGAGCUACAAAAAUUUCUGAAGCAAGCUUACGGAUUGUUUCUGAUGAGUUUAGCAACUCUAUGGAAACAAGCAUAAGUGCUUCUCAUCUGACCAGUUCCAAGAGAGAAGUAGCCAACUGGCAUGGUUAUGUUCAUCAGAAUAUUGAAUGUCAAAUCGAAAGGAGGUGCCAACCUAUAGCUAUCAACGACAUGGACACCAUGGUUCAGAUCCAUAAAUUUGGGGAUCAUGGAUGUCUAGGUUCAGAAAAUUUUGGAUUUUAGACAACAAUUUUCUAGAAUUACCAAUUCAGAAAAACACAUUAUGCGUUUUGUUAUAAUGUAAUAAAAUACCAAUUUACGUUUAUUUGAUGAAUUAUCAAAGCAACGAUUACAAUACUUUUAUUUU
rnacentral:lncRNA from 1 species